AUACUGCUGAGCCUCUCGCCACCUGGAUGUGCCGAGAAAAAGGCACAGUGCUGUGAUACCUUUUUUUUUUUUUAAUUUUUUUUAUUUUUCCCUCCACCUCCCCUUUCUGGUACUGUUUCCGUAACCAAAAAAAAAAAAAAAAAAAAAAAAAAGCCAAAACAAAACAAAAAAAACCCUGAACCCUAAAAAAAAAAAAACCCAAACCAAAAAAAUAAACCCAAUCAGGCCAUGAAACGGAGACCGGAACAAGGAAAAGAGGUACUGUUUGAUGAGUGUGAAAGGAUGCUUCACUGAUUUCCAUAUUGAUUUUGGAGGCACUUCAGUGUGGUAUCACGUUUUCCGUGGGGGGAAGAUCUUCUGGCUGAUUCCACCUACUCUGCAGAAUCUAGAACUUUAUGAAGAAUGGGUUCUCUCAGGAAAGCAAAGUGAUAUCUUUCUGGGAGACAGAGUGGAACGAUGCCAAAGAAUUGAACUGAAACAAGGCUAUACAUUCUUCAUUCCUUCAGGGUGGAUACAUGCGGUUUAUACUCCAGUAGAUUCUCUGGUGUUUGGUGGAAAUAUCCUGCAUAGCUUUAAUGUUCCCAUGCAGCUUCGCAUCUAUGAAAUUGAGGACAGAACAAGGGCAUGUGGCUGAAAACCUUUUGAAGGCUGAGGGGUGGAAGGCGGCUUCCUGUUUUUUGUGCAUGCCAAAUUCCGUUAUCCUUUCUACUAUGAAAUGUGCUGGUAUGUUCUGGAGAGAUACGUGUCCUGUGUGACCCAGCGCUGCCACCUCAGCAAAGAGUACCAGAAAGAAUCAAUGUUAAUUGAUGCAAAGAGAAAACGCAGCAUAGACAGCUAUUCAUCGGAUUCGUGGUUAGACAUGGAUGAAGAAUCUUGUGAUGCUCAUAUCCGGGAGGAAAAGGAUGACAGCUUGGAUAAGAACUCCAAAUCCCUGGUGGAUGGCUCCUCCUCACCCAACAGCACACAUUCAGAAGGAAAGGAGGGUGCAGGGAGAAAACAAAAAGCCACAGUAAUGAGGUACCUAAAAAGAACUUUGUCUAAUGAGUCAGAUGACAGUGUAAAAUCAACGACCCCCACGGAUUAUCCCAAAACACCAACGGGGUCUCCAGCUACAGAAGUUUCAACCAAAUGGACUCACCUCACAGAAUUUGAACUGAAGGGUUUAAAAGCCCUGGUGGAAAAGCUUGAAUCUCUCCCAGAGAACAAGAAGUGUGUUCCAGAAGGCAUUGAGGAUCCACAGGCUCUCCUGGAGGACAUGAAGAACAUUCUGAAAGAACAUGCUGAUGAUGACCAAAAUCUUGCGAUUUCGGGUGUCCCUGUGGUCAGCUGGCCCAAGAAGACCCCAAAGAUCUGUUCCUUCAUAUCAGAAAUACACUCCGUGCCCCAUUCAUGAUGGAUUCUGAGGAAUUGGAAACAUGGCUCUUGGAGAUGAACUGUGCUGUGGGAACGCUCCAUGAUAGAAGUAUUUGUGGAAGAAGGAAGCGUGGCAGGAUUUCCCUCAUUUCCCAGCAGGUAAAAGAAAUAGUAGGAAGUGCUAAGAUGGUGACACUGGAUGGAUAUUUGAAGAUGAAAAGAAAGCUGUCAGAGCAUCUCUGACAACGUGAGUGAGAUAUUGGCCAGAAGUCUGGAGAAAAGCAUUCUGAAAUUUGCCCAGAUCCAACAGCUGGGCUCAUAUUUCAUGUGAGCAGACACUUGGGCCAAAACAGCAAUCCUUAGAAAGCAAUAGGGUAACUCCUUUACCCUGAUGCAGGACAAGAUGUGACUUAUAAACAUCUCUGUGGGGUUUGCCUUUAAAAAAUGUUUCACCUCACAUUGAGAAUCAAAGAAUGAUAAAUCAUGGAAGGGACCCCCAAGGAUCGUCUGACUCAGGAUGUUCUGUGAUGAACUCCAGUGUGCCACUGACACCACAGAUUCUGUUUGGCACUGAGUACUGCUAGCAGCAGCUGAGAUCUGUUGGUCCUGGAGCAGCUCAAGAGCAAGUAUGCAGAGUGCAGGGGUGGUAGUUUCACUCCCCCCACGUUGGUUUUACUACUUAAGG
rnacentral:lncRNA from 7 species